GUCCACGCCCUAAACUAUGUCAACUGGUUGUCGGGGAAGCAAUUCCUUGGUAACGAAGCUAACGCGUGAAGUUGACCGCCUGGGGAGUACGGCCGCAAGGUUAAAACUCAAAGGAAUUGACGGGGACCCGCACAAGCGGUGGAUUAUGUGGAUUAAUUCGAUGCAACGCGAAAACCUUACCUACCCUUGACAUGUACGGAACCUCGCAGAGAUGUGAGGGUGCUCGAAAGAGAACCGUAACACAGGUGCUGCAUGGCUGUCGU
rnacentral:rRNA from 1 species